AUUUUUGAUCUCAGCGAACAGACUUCAUGGUCUGGUGGCGAGAGUAAUUAGGACAACAAACAUUUAGGCUGAGAUCUAUAGAUAUAGCUUACAUACUUAGGUAGGCUGAGAUCUAUAGAUAGAGCGAACAUACUUAGGUAGGCUGAGAUCUAUAGAUAGAGCGAACAUACUUAGGUAAGCUAAGAUCUAUAGAUAGAGCGUACAUACUUAGGUAGGCUGAGAUCUGUAGAUAUAGCUUACAUACUUAGGUAGGCUGAGAUCUAUAGAUAGAGCGUACAUACUUAGGUAAGCUGAGAUCUAUAGAUAGAGCGAACAUACUUAGGUAGGCUGAGUUCUAUAGAUAUAGCUUUCAUACUUAGGUAUGCUGAGAUCUAUAGAAAUAGCUUACAUACUUAGGUAGACUGAGAUCUAUAGAUAUAGCUUACAUACUUAGGUAGGCUGAGAUCUAUAGAUAGAGCGAACAUACUUAGGUAGGCUGAGCUCUAUAGAUAUAGCUUACAUACUUAGGUAAGCUGAGAUCUAUAGAUAUAGCUUUCAUACUAAGGUAGGCUGAGAUCUAUAGAUAGAGCUUACAUACUUAAGAAGGCUAAGAUCUAUAAAGCGUACUUUGCCGAGACAUUCUUCACCUAGCUGAGUGUGAUAAAACGCGAGCUUGAAUUUUGC